rnacentral:rRNA from 1 species
UUUGUGUUGGAAGAAAAUGGUCGGCAGAGUAACUGUUGUCGGCGUGACGGUAUCCAACCAGAAAGCCACGGCUAACUACGUGCCAGCAGCCGCGGUAAUACGUAGGUGGCAAGCGUUAUCCGGAUUUAUUGGGCGUAAAGCGAGCGCAGGCGGUUUUUUAAGUCUGAUGUGAAAGCCCUCGGCUUAACCGAGGAAGCGCAUCGGAAACUGGGAAACUUGAGUGCAGAAGAGGACAGUGGAACUCCAUGUGUAGCGGUGAAAUGCGUAGAUAUAUGGAAGAACACCAGUGGCGAAGGCGGCUGUCUGGUCUGUAACUGACGCUGAGGCUCGAAAGCAUGGGUAGCGAACAGGAUUAGAUACCCUGGUAGUCCAUGCCGUAAACGAUGAAUGCUAGGUGUUGGAGGGUUUCCGCCCUUCAGUGCCGCAGCUAACGCAUUAAGCAUUCCGCCUGGGGAGUACGACCGCAAGGUUGAAACUCAAAGGAAUUGACGGGGGCCCGCACAAGCGGUGGAGCAUGUGGUUUAAUUCGAAGCAACGCGAAGAACCUUACCAGGUCUUGACAUCUUUUGAUCACCUGAGAGAUCAGGUUUCCCCUUCGGGGGCAAAAUGACAGGUGGUGCAUGGUUGUCGUCAGCUCGUGUCGUGAGAUGUUGGGUUAAGUCCCGCAACGAGCGCAACCCUUAUGACUAGUUGCCAGCAUUUAGUUGGGCACUCUAGUAAGACUGCCGGUGACAAACCGGAGGAAGGUGGGGAUGACGUCAAAUCAUCAUGCCCCUUAUGACCUGGGCUACACACGUGCUACAAUGGAUGGUACAACGAGUUGCGAGACCGCGAGGUCAAGCUAAUCUCUUAAAGCCAUUCUCAGUUCGGACUGUAGGCUGCAACUCGCCUACACGAAGUCGGAAUCGCUAGUAAUCGCGGAUCAGCACGCCGCGGUGAAUACGUUCCCGGGCCUUGUACACACCGCCCGUCACACCAUGAGAGUUUGUAACACCCGAAGCCGGUGGCGUAACCCUUUAGGGAGCGAGCCGUCUAAGUGACAGAAUUGGU